UGGACGGCCCCCGCAUAGGUUGUAGGUUUGGCAGUUUGGCUGAUGAGGGUGAUGUUAAUUCAGUGGAAUCAUCAUCGCUUGGACUAGUAGUUUGCAGCACCUGAGUCAUAAAGGCGGUUGUAGGACGUUAUCCGUCAGAGGAAGAUGUCACUUACCUCUCAGUUUUGAAGUCAAGGCCUGCAGGACAGUUGAACUCUCUGCGUGUUACAUGCAAGUCUGUAUACACGAGUGAGUGAAUGAAGGAGGGAUGCACUGUUAAGGCAAGAUAGACAGAGAGAAAGACAUGCAGGCUCUGCGGAGGCGUUAGUGAUGGUUAACUUUUCGGUACGGCAGUCUUCUCUUGGUUCCUCUGAUCUUUUGAAGACUUUGUCAUUGUGAUCCUGGAAACGAGUGAGAAAAAACAUCAUACACCGUAGAGAGAGAGAGAGCGAGAAAAAACCUGUAUUGCUCCGACUCAGACCUCAGAGGCAGCUCUCAGUUUGACAAAGCGCCUGUCCUUGCCCCUACGUUUUUUUCACUCUCUCUUUCUUAUCC
rnacentral:lncRNA from 1 species